UGGGGGAUAUUGCACAAUGGGGGAAACCCUGAUGCAGCGACGCCGCGUGGAGGAAGAAGGUUUUCGGAUUGUAAACUCCUGUCGUUAGGGACGAUAAUGACGGUACCCAAGAAGGAAGCCCCGGCUAACUACGUGCCAGCAGCCGCGGUAAUACGUAGGGGGCAAGCGUUGUCCGGAAUGAUUGGGCGUAAAGGGCGCGUAGGCGGCCAACUAAGUCUGGAGUGAAAGUCCUGCUUUUAAGGUGGGAAUUGCUUUGGAAACUGGAUGGCUUGAGUGCAGGAGAGGUAAGCGGAAUUCCCGGUGUAGCGGUGAAAUGCGUAGAGAUCGGGAGGAACACCAGUGGCGAAGGCGGCUUACUGGACUGUAACUGACGCUGAGGCGCGAAAGUGUGGGGAGCAAACAGGAUUAGAUACCCUGGUAGUCCACACUGUAAACGAUGAAUGCUAGGUGUAGGGGGUAUCGACCCCUUCUGUGCCGGAGUAAACACAAUAAGCAUUCCGCCUGGGGAGUACGGCCGCAAGGUUGAAACUCAAAGGAAUUGACGGGGGCCCGCACAAGCAGCGGAGCAUGUGGUUUAAUUCGAAGCAACGCGAAGAACCUUACCAGGUCUUGACAUCCAUUAAAAGCCAUAGAGAUAUGGUGUGAGCUUGCUCGUAAUGAGACAGGUGGUGCAUGGUUGUCGUCAGCUCGUGUCGUGAGAUGUUGGGUUAAGUCCCGCAACGAGCGCAACCCUUGUGAUCAGUUACUAACAGGUAGUGCCGAGGACUCUGAUAAGACUGCCGGGGACAACUCGGAGGAAGGUGGGGACGACGUCAAAUCAUCAUGCCCCUUAUGAUCUGGGCUACACACGUGCUACAAUGGCCACUACAGAGAGCAGCGAAUUCGUAAGGAAGAGCAAAUCUCAAAAAAGUGGUCCCAGUUCGGAUUGUGGGCUGCAACCCGCCCACAUGAAGUCGGAGUUGCUAGUAAUCGCGGAUCAGCAUGCCGCGGUGAAUACGUUCCC
rnacentral:rRNA from 1 species